rnacentral:rRNA from 1 species
AGCUGAGUUUGAUCCUGGCUCAGAGCGAACGCUGGCGGCAGGCCUAACACAUGCAAGUCGAACGGAUCCUUCGGGAUUAGUGGCGGACGGGUGAGUAACACGUGGGAACGUGCCUUUUGGUUCGGAACAACUCAGGGAAACUUGAGCUAAUACCGGAUAAGCCUUUCGAGGGAAAGAUUUAUCGUCAUUAGAGCGGCCCGCGUAGGAUUAGCUAGUUGGUGGGGUAAAGGCCCACCAAGGCUACGAUCCUUAGCUGGUCUGAGAGGAUGAUCAGCCACAUUGGGACUGAGACACGGGCCCGACUCCUACGGGAGGCAGCAGUAAGGAAUAUGGUCAAUGACGCAAGUCUGAACCAGCCAUGCCGCGUGAAGGAUUAAGGUCCUCUGGAUUGUAAACUUCUUUUAUAUGGGACGAAAAAAGGUCUUUCUAGACCCCCUUGACGGUACCAUAUGAAUAAGCACCGGCUAACUCCGUGCCAGCAGCCGCGGUAAUCUGAUGGCGCGA